GUUCGUCCGCUGGUGCCUAUAACUGUGUCUUUCUCCCAUUCAUAUAUUCAUAAAUCGUGCUCUCACGGCUCCCUUUCUCUAUUUAUCAUUGCUAGAACCUGUGAAUUGCUUGUUUUGACUGAAACCCUAGGGUUUUAAUCGGUCCCGCUCGUCGGAUCGAAUUUCAAUAAUCAGUUUCGUGACAUCCCUUAGUCUCUCAGAAAAUGCCAUCAGUGUACGGUGCACGGUUGACAACCUUUGAAGAUUCCGAGAAGGAGAGCGAGUACGGUUACGUUCGUAAGGUAUCUGGACCAGUUGUGGU
rnacentral:misc_RNA from 1 species